AUGAGAUUGUGGGGUCUUCUCCUUUGCCUGGUGACAGCUCCCGAAGGUGUGCUGUCCCAGGUGCAGCUGCAGGAGUCGGGCCCAGGACUCGUGAAGCCCUCACAGAUGCUCUCCCUCACUUGCACCAUCUCUGGUGACUUCAUCACAACCCCUAGUUAUGGUUGGAGCUGGAUCCGCCAGCCGUCAGGGAAGGGGCUGGAGUGGAUGGGAACCUUCAGUUAUAGUGGUGGUACAGAUUAUAACCCAUCCCUCAAGAGCCGCACCUCCAUCACCGGAGACACAUCCAAGAACCAGUUCUCCCUGCAGCUGAGCUCUGUGACCAACGAAGACACAGGCGUGUAUUACUGUGCGAGAGACACAGUGACAGGAAGUUAG